rnacentral:rRNA from 1 species
GUUUCCGUAGGUGAAYCAGCGGAAGGAUCAUUG